UACUGAGGAUACCCUCACCUGGAUUCAGGCGCUGCCGUAUUAUCUCCAACAGCGUUUCUCAAAGAGCAUUUUUCUGGGGCUGCACACGUGACCCUCCACAACGUGGUCAUUCGUACAUCUGUGGUACAGUGUCCUUUCGUGCCAUCAUCCCAAGAUCAUGGAUCUGACCAACUACGGAAUGCCUUCACUACUGUACGGUGGUGAGGCGGAAAUCGUGCGGCUGUACACUGUUACACGGCUAGCACAGGUAAUAAGUGGUUGCCUGCUGCUUCUACUUCAUGGAUGGCCCCAAAACCUAUGACCUCCGCCAGGAAACUACACUUUCAAAAACCGCGAUUUUUGAUCUGGGUAUGGCAGACGGUGCUCUGAAGAUGGAAGAUUUCAGACUUUAAAUCUGCAGCAGUUUUCAAAGAGUAAAAAUACCGCACAGCAGGUGGAUGGUUGAAGACCAAAGACUUACGAUCAGGGAUAUGAAACUCCCUGGGGGAGACAAAAGGAAAGCGAUCUCGCUAUGUGUGAACAUCAAGGUGAAUAGAAAUUGCCAUUCUGAUUCUAUAAUAAUACUGUGGAAAGUCAGAAUAAACCAUUAGUUACAAUGCUCA